CAGUGUUGGAAUGGACGGCCAUGUAAACUCCACUUGCGCUGCCUACAACACAGCCGUUUGCUUGUAAAUGGCCACAGUGAGGAGCUCCGUCUGCCAUUCCUGAUUCCUGCUGUGGUUUUGCUCCCAAACCGGGUGGCGCUGUUUCAAACUGUUUGACCUCUCUGGCCGGACCAAAAACUGAUUCAAAGUCCUCGGAUGCUACAUUGAGAGAGA